rnacentral:rRNA from 1 species
GAGUUUGAUCAUGGCUCAGAUUGAACGCUGGCGGCAGGCCUAACACAUGCAAGUCGAACGGUAGCACAGAGAGCUUGCUCUCGGGUGACGAGUGGCGGACGGGUGAGUAAUGUCUGGGAAACUGCCUGAUGGAGGGGGAUAACUACUGGAAACGGUAGCUAAUACCGCAUAACGUCGCAAGACCAAAGAGGGGGACCUUCGGGCCUCUUGCCAUCAGAUGUGCCCAGAUGGGAUUAGCUAGUAGGUGGGGUAACGGCUCACCUAGGCGACGAUCCCUAGCUGGUCUGAGAGGAUGACCAGCCACACUGGAACUGAGACACGGUCCAGACUCCUACGGGAGGCAGCAGUGGGGAAUAUUGCACAAUGGGCGCAAGCCUGAUGCAGCCAUGCCGCGUGUAUGAAGAAGGCCUUCGGGUUGUAAAGUACUUUCAGCGGGGAGG